CAAUAAAUAAAAUAAUAAUAUAUUUAUAUAUUAUUACUUGUUAGGUCAUUUGGAACAUGAAACUUGAAUCAACUUACAGGUUGCGAAGAGCAGGAAAGCACCC